rnacentral:rRNA from 1 species
AGCGGCGGACGGGUGAGUAACACGUGGGUAACCUGCCCAAGAGACUGGGAUAACACCUGGAAACAGAUGCUAAUACCGGAUAACAACACUAGACGCAUGUCUAGAGUUUGAAAGAUGGUUCUGCUAUCACUCUUGGAUGGACCUGCGGUGCAUUAGCUAGUUGGUAAGGUAACGGCUUACCAAGGCAAUGAUGCAUAGCCGAGUUGAGAGACUGAUCGGCCACAUUGGGACUGAGACACGGCCCAAACUCCUACGGGAGGCAGCAGUAGGGAAUCUUCCACAAUGGACGAAAGUCUGAUGGAGCAACGCCGCGUGAGUGAAGAAGGGUUUCGGCUCGUAAAGCUCUGUUGGUAGUGAAGAAAGAUAGAGGUAGUAACUGGCCUUUAUUUGACGGUAAUUACUUAGAAAGUCACGCCUAACUACGUGCCAGCAGCCGCGGUAAUACGUAGGUGGCAAGCGUUGUCCGGAUUUAUUGGGCGUAAAGCGAGUGCAGGCGGUUCAAUAAGUCUGAUGUGAAAGCCUUCGGCUCAACCGGAGAAUUGCAUCAGAAACUGUUGAACUUGAGUGCAGAAGAGGAGAGUGGAACUCCAUGUGUAGCGGUGGAAUGCGUAGAUAUAUGGAAGAACACCAGUGGCGAAGGCGGCUCUCUGGUCUGCAACUGACGCUGAGGCUCGAAAGCAUGGGUAGCGAACAGGAUUAGAUACCCUGGUAGUCCAUGCCGUAAACGAUGAGUGCUAAGUGU